CAAUUUUAUUAUCAAAAGAUGAUACAGAUAACAAAAACAAUUUUCUAUAACAACAUACAAAUCAAUAACAGAUAUAAUAGACGAAAUGUUUUACCCAAAGGAUUCCAGCUUCCUGUUUCUUUUAUAUUUGAUAAAGUAUUUAUCCAAAUGGGAAUGUAUGACAAUGGGUACUGAUUAGACGGUCACGAUUUUUCAUCAGAAAAUUGGAAGGAAUAUUUUGCAUAUUCAUACAUUUCGUAUUUUAUUAAAUGAAAUUUAUCACAAGUUAAACAUGUUAAAGUAAAAUUGACUUUCAGUGCUAAACCUGUUGCACUGAACAUUGUUAUUAUACAUAUUCAUGCAUUUCAUAUUUCAUUAGAUGAAAUUGCUAUCAGCCUAUGACAGGACAAAGUAAAAUUGACAUUCAGUGGUAAACUUGCUGCCCUGGACAUAGUCGUUUUAAAAUGAUUAACUUUGAUGGUAUAGAUAAUGACCGCAUUACUA
rnacentral:lncRNA from 1 species